UAGGGUGAACCUGCGGAGGGAUCAUUACCGAGUUUACAACUCCCAAACCCAAUGUGAACCAUACCAAACUGUUGCCUCGGCGGGGUCACGCCCCGGGUGCGUCGCAGCCCCGGAACCAGGCGCCCGCCGGAGGGACCAACCAAACUCUUUUCUGUAGUCCCCUCGCGGACGUUAUUUCUUACAGCUCUGAGCAAAAAUUCAAAAUGAAUCAAAACUUUCAACAACGGAUCUCUUGGUUCUGGCAUCGAUGAAGAACGCAGCGAAAUGCGAUAAGUAAUGUGAAUUGCAGAAUUCAGUGAAUCAUCGAAUCUUUGAACGCACAUUGCGCCCGCCAGUAUUCUGGCGGGCAUGCCUGUCCGAGCGUCAUUUCAACCCUCGAACCCCUCCGGGGGGUCGGCGUUGGGGACCUCGGGAGCCCCUAAGACGGGAUCCCGGCCCCGAAAUACAGUGGCGGUCUCGCCGCAGCCUCUCCUGCGCAGUAGUUUGCACAACUCGCACCGGGAGCGCGGCGCGUCCACGUCCGUAAAACACCCAACUUCUGAAAUGUUGACCUCGGAUCAGGUAGGAAUACCCGCUGAACUUAAGCAUAUCAAUAAGCGGAGG
rnacentral:rRNA from 1 species